rnacentral:piRNA from 1 species
UACGAAAGAGGACGCUAGCCA